AGCCUCAAGCAAGAGAAAAAGCUGAGAAAGAGGGAUUCAAAGUAAGUAUUGCAAAAACAAGUUUCAAGGCAAACACAAAGGCCCUAGCCGAAAAUGAAGGAGAAGGACUUGCUAAGAUGAUAUACAGACCUGACAAUGGUGAAAUCCUUGGAGUACAUAUAUUUGGGCUGCAUGCUGCAGAUCUUAUCCAUGAAGCAUCUAACGCGAUUGCUUUAGGAACACGCAUUCAGG